rnacentral:rRNA from 1 species
UUAAGUGAAUAAGGGCGCACGGUGGAUGCCUUGGCACUAGGAGCCGAUGAAGGACGGGACUAACACCGAUAUGCUUUGGGGAGCUGUAAGUAAGCUAUGAUCCAGAGAUUUCCGAAUGGGGGAACCCAAUAUCUUUUAUAGGAUAUUACUUUUCAGUGAAUACAUAGCUGAUUAGAGGUAGACGCAGAGAACUGAAACAUCUUAGUACCUGCAGGAAGAGAAAGAAAAUUCGAUUCCCUGAGUAGCGGCGAGCGAAACGGGAAGAGCCCAAACCAACAAGCUUGCUUGUUGGGGUUGUAGGACUCCAAUAUGGUAGUCUGUUAGUAUAGUUGAAGGAUUUGGAAAAUUCCGCUAAAGAGGGUGAAAGCCCCGUAGACGAAAUGCUGACAACACCUAGGAGGAUCCUGAGUACGGCGGAACACGAGAAAUUCCGUCGGAAUCCGCGGGGACCAUCCCGCAAGGCUAAAUACUCCCUAGUGACCGAUAGUGAACCAGUACCGUGAGGGAAAGGUGAAAAGCACCCCGGAAGGGGAGUGAAAUAGAUCCUGAAACCGUGUGCCUACAACAAGUCAAAGCUCGUUAAUGAGUGAUGGCGUGCCUUUUGUAGAAUGAACCGGCGAGUUACGAUUGCAUGCGAGGUUAAGUCGAAGAGACGGAGCCGCAGCGAAAGCGAGUCUGAAUAGGGCGAAUGAGUAUGUAGUCGUAGACCCGAAACCAUGUGAUCUACCCAUGUCCAGGUUGAAGGUGCGGUAAAACGCACUGGAGGACCGAACCCACGUACGUUGAAAAGUGCGGGGAUGAGGUGUGGGUAGCGGAGAAAUUCCAAACGAACUUGGAGAUAGCUGGUUCUCUCCGAAAUAGCUUUAGGGCUAGCCUCGGAAUUGAGAAUGAUGGAGGUAGAGCACUGUUUGGACUAGGGGCCCAUCUCGGGUUACCGAAUUCAGAUAAACUCCGAAUGCCAUUCAUUUAUAUCCGGGAGUCAGACUGCGAGUGAUAAGAUCCGUAGUCGAAAGGGAAACAGCCCAGACCACCAGCUAAGGUCCCAAAAUAUAUGUUAAGUGGAAAAGGAUGUGGGGUUGCACAGACAACUAGGAUGUUGGCUUAGAAGCAGCCACCAUUUAAAGAGUGCGUAAUAGCUCACUAGUCGAGUGACCCUGCGCCGAAAAUGUACCGGGGCUAAACAUAUUACCGAAGCUGUGGACUACACCAUUAGGUGUAGUGGUAGGAGAGCGUUCUAAGGGCGUUGAAGGUCGAUCGUGAGGACGGCUGGAGCGCUUAGAAGUGAGAAUGCCGGUAUGAGUAGCGAAAGACAGGUGAGAAUCCUGUCCACCGUAUGACUAAGGUUUCCUGGGGAAGGCUCGUCCGCCCAGGGUUAGUCGGGACCUAAGCCGAGGCCGAUAGGCGUAGGCGAUGGACAACAGGUUGAUAUUCCUGUACCAGUUGUUUUUGUUUGAGCAAUGGAGGGACGCAGUAGGCUAAGGAAUGCAUGCGAUUGGAAGUGCAUGUCCAAGCAAUGAGUCUUGAGUAGAGUUAAAUGCUUUACUCUCUAAGGACAAGUUGUGACGGGGAGCGAAAUAAUAGUAGCGAAGUUCCUGAUGUCACACUGCCAAGAAAAGCUUCUAGUGAGAAAACAACUGCCCGUACCGUAAACCGACACAGGUAGUCGAGGAGAGUAUCCUAAGGUGAGCGAGCGAACUCUCGUUAAGGAACUCGGCAAAAUGACCCCGUAACUUCGGGAGAAGGGGUGCUGACUUCGGUCAGCCGCAGUGAAUAGGCCCAAGCGACUGUUUAUCAAAAACACAGGUCUCUGCAAAAUCGUAAGAUGAAGUAUAGGGGCUGACGCCUGCCCGGUGCUGGAAGGUUAAGAGGAUGGGUUAGCUUCGGCGAAGCUCAGAAUUGAAGCCCCAGUAAACGGCGGCCGUAACUAUAACGGUCCUAAGGUAGCGAAAUUCCUUGUCGGGUAAGUUCCG